rnacentral:rRNA from 1 species
CAAUAGCGUAUAUUAAAGCUGUUGCGGUUAAAAAGCUCGUAGUUGGAUUUCUGUCAAGGACAACUGGUCCGCCCCUCGGGUGAGCACAUAGUUUGGUCUUGGCAUCUUGUUGGAAACUGUUGCUGCACUUGGUUGUGUGGCGCAGUGUCCAGCACUUUCACUUUGAGGAAAUUGGAGUGUUUCAAGCAGGCACAUGCCUUUGGACACAGUAGCUUGGAAUAAUUAGAUUGGGCUUUUGCUCCAACUUGUCGGUUUCUGGAGCUGAGGUGAGAAUUAAUGGGGAUUGUUGGGGGCAUCCGAAUUUAGCCGUCAGAGGUGAAAUUCUUGGAUCUGCUAAAGACGGACAACUGCGAAAGCGUUUGCCCAGGAUGUUUUCAUUGA